rfam:Macrostomum lignano uti_cns_0000788, whole genome shotgun sequence.
CCAACGGCCCUUUUCGGGGCCACCUCAAACUGGCAACGUCACAAGG